rnacentral:rRNA from 1 species
GAGCUAAUGCCGGAUGUGACUUUUGGAAAGCAUUUUCUGAAAUUCAAAGUUGGGGACCGUAAGGCCUGACGCUUCAUGAUAAGCCCGCGGUCUAUCAGCUAGUUGGUGAGGUAAUGGCUCACCAAGGCUAAGACGGAUAGCUGGUCUGAGAGGACGACCAGCCACACUGGAACUGAGACACGGUCCAGACACCUACGGGUGGCAGCAGUCGAGAAUUUUUCACAAUGGGCGAAAGCCUGAUGGAGCGACGCCGCGUGGGGGAUGAAUGGCUUCGGCCCGUAAACCCCUGUCAUUUGCGAACAAAUCUUACCGGUUAACAACCGGCAAGUUGAUUGUAGCGAAAGAGGAAGGGACGGCUAACUCUGUGCCAGCAGCCGCGGUAAUACAGAGGUCCCAAGCGUUGUUCGGAUUCACUGGGCGUAAAGGGUGCGUAGGUGGUGAGGUAAGUCGGAUGUGAAAUCUCCAGGCUCAACCUGGAAACUGCAUUGGAAACUGCCUUGCUAGAGGAUUUGAGGGGGGAUUGGAAUACUUGGUGUAGCAGUGAAAUGCGUAGAUAUCAAGUGGAACACCAGUGGCGAAGGCGAAUCCCUGGAAAAUACCUGACACUGAGGCACGAAAGCUAGGGGAGCAAACAGGAUUAGAUACCCUGGUAGUCCACGCCCUAAACGAUGUCGACUAGUUGUUGGGGUUAUUAUGACCUCAGUAACGAAGCUAACGCAUGAAGUCGACCGCCUGGGGAGUACGGCCGCAAGGUUAAAACUCAAAGGAAUUGACGGGGACCCGCACAAGCGGUGGAUGAUGUGGAUUAAUUCGAUGCAACGCGAAGAACCUUACCUACCCUUGACAUGUCACUAACGAAACAGAGAUGUAUUAGGUGCCCGAAAGGGAAAGUGAACACAGGUGCUGCAUGGCUGUCGUCAGCUCGUGUCGUGAGAUGUUGGGUUAAGUCCCGCAACGAGCGCAACCCUUGUCAUUAGUUGCUACGGAUAGAGCACUCUAAUGAGACUGCUGGUGAUAAACCGGAGGAAGGUGGGGAUGACGUCAAGUCCUCAUGGCCCUUAUGGGUAGGGCUUCACACGUCAUACAAUGGUCGGUACAGAGGGUCGCCAACCCGCGAGGGGGAGCUAAUCUCACAAAGCCGAUCGUAGUCCGGAUUGUAGUCUGCAACUCGACUACAUGAAGUCGGAAUCGCUAGUAAUCGCAGAUCAGCAUGUUGCGGUGAAUACGUUCCCGGGUCUUGUACACACCGCCCGUCACACCAUGGGAGUGGAUUUUGCCAGAAGUAGGUAGUCUAACCGCAAGGAGGGCGCUUACCACGGUGAGAUUCAUGACUGGGGUGAAGUCGGAACAAGGUA